UGCAGAUGCAAUUGAGCAGCAGCUUCAUUCCACAUUUCCGCAACAUCUUUCAUGUUAUUUUGCAGGUACAGAGUUAAGAAAUGGCAAGUUAUGCAGCCAGAGCACACACAGAAGAAAACUUCGACCUCAAAUAACACCUAGAACCAAAGUCUCUACCGCAGAACUCAAGAUUGGGACAUGGCUGGAGCUCCAGCACCUAAACACUUUGAAAAGGCUUUGCCUUCCAGUUUCUACUUGGCCUUCCAGCGUCAGACAGCUUCUUGCACCUGACCCAUCCAGCUGAGGAUACAGAUGUCCAAAAAAUAAAUAUAGAAUUCAAGACAAAUUUACCAAUAUGUUAUAUUUGCUGUGGUUGCUUUAUAGAUUUUUUAAAAUUGUUGGUCCAAUAAAAGGUCUGAAAUUUAA